rnacentral:rRNA from 1 species
UGAAGGCGAUUGUUUAAGAGAUUAAUUGAUUGACGAUAAUCACAGAAGAAGCACCGGCUAACUCCGUGCCAGCAGCCGCGGUAAUACGGAGGGUGCGAGCGUUAAUCGGAAUGACUGGGCGUAAAGGGCACGCAGGUGGUGACUUAAGUGAGGUGUGAAAUCCCCGGGCUUAACCUGGGAACAGCAUUUCAGACUGGGUGACUAGAGUACUUUAGGGAGGGGUAGAAUUCCACGUGUAGCGGUGAAAUGCGUAGAGAUGUGGAGGAAUACCGAAGGCGAAGGCAGCCCCUUGGGAAGAUACUGACGCUCGAGUGCGAAAGCGUGGGGAGCAAACAGGAUUAGAUACCCUGGUAGUCCACGCUAAAGCGAUGC